rnacentral:rRNA from 1 species
GAGGAAAAGAAACUAACAAGGAUUCCCCUAGUAACGGCGAGUGAAGAGGGAAAAGCUCAAAUUUUGAAUCUGGCGUCUUUUGGCGUCCGAGUUGUAAUCUAGAGAAGUGUUUUCCGUGGCGGACCGUGCACAAGUCUCCUGGAAUGGGGCAUCAUAGAGGGUGAGAAUCCCGUAUAUGGCAUGGACUACCGUUACUCUGUGAUACACUCUCAACGAGUCGAGUUGUUUGGGAAUGCAGCUCUAAAUGGGUGGUAAAUGCCAUCUAAAGCUAAAUACUGGCGAGAGACCGAUAGCGAACAAGUACCGUGAGGGAAAGAUGAAAAGCACUUUGGAAAGAGAGUGGAAACAGUACGUGAAAUUGUUGAAAGGGAAACGCUUGAAGUCAGGCGCACCCUCGGGGACUCAGCCUUGCUUCUGCAUGGUUUACUUCGCCUUGGGUGGGUCAACGUCAGUGUUGGUCAGAGGGGAAAGACUUGGGGAAGGUAGCAGAAUUUAUUCUGUGUUAUAGCCUCUUGUUGUAUACUUUGACUGGAACUGAGGACCGCAGCGCGCCUUUACGGCCGGGGCUUGCCCACGUACGCGCUUAG